UACGUAGGGUGCGAGCGUUAAUCGGAAUUACUGGGCGUAAAGCGUGCGUAGGCGGUUCGUUAUGUCUGCUGUGAAAGCCCCGGGCUUAACCUGGGAAUGGCAGUGGAAACUGGCGGGCUUGAGUGUGGCAGAGGGGGGUGGAAUUCCUGGCGUAGCGGUGAAAUGCGUAGAUAUCAGGAGGAACACCUGUGGCGAAAGCGGCUCACUGGACCACAACUGACGCUGAGGCGCGAAAGCUAGGGGAGCAAACAGG
rnacentral:rRNA from 1 species